rnacentral:lncRNA from 1 species
GCUUGCACGUGGGAUUACAAAUGGCCAUAGGUUGCCCACUGCAACAGCCUUGUUGUUUUCUUGUAGCAAGGGACUACCAAAGAAGAAGAGAUGAUGCGGGUUCAGAAUCUGACAAUAUCUGUGUUAGUGCUGGCAGAUCCAAAGACAGAAAGAAACAGACAGUUUCACACACUAGCAACCGUAGGAUCAUUUUCAAAAAGGUAAGUCUGCACAAAGAGAAAAAGUAUUACUUACUACUAUAUUUUUUGCUACUUAUUUCUCUUUCUAAACCAUAUUUGGUCAGCACCUAAAUAUCGACGAAAAAGUUUCUUUUUAUUUCUUUUUAAUGCACAGAUACGACGACAAAU